rnacentral:rRNA from 1 species
GAUGAACGCUGGCGGCGUGCUUAACACAUGCAAGUCGAACGGAAAGGCCCAAGCUUGCUUGGGUACUCGAGUGGCGAACGGGUGAGUAACACGUGGGUGAUCUGCCCCGCACUUCGGGAUAAGCCUGGGAAACUGGGUCUAAUACCGGAUAGGACAGUGGUUUGGAUGCCAUUGUGGAAAGUUUUUUCGGUGUGGGAUGAGCUCGCGGCCUAUCAGCUUGUUGGUGGGGUAAUGGCCUACCAAGGCGUCGACGGGUAGCCGGCCUGAGAGGGUGUACGGCCACAUUGGGACUGAGAUACGGCCCGGACUCCUACGGGAGGCAGCAGUGGGGAAUAUUGCACAAUGGGCGCAAGCCUGAUGCAGCGACGCCGCGUGGGGGAUGACGGCCUUCGGGUUGUAAACUCCUUUCGCUAGGGACGAAGCGUUAUGUGACGGUACCUAGAGAAGAAGCACCGGCUAACUACGUG